GAUGAACGCUAGCUACAGGCUUAACACAUGCAAGUCGAGGGGAAACGGCAUUGAGUGCUUGCACUCUUUGGACGUCGACCGGCGCACGGGUGAGUAACGCGUAUCCAACCUUCCCAUUACUGUGGGAUAACCUGCCGAAAGGCAGACUAAUACCGCAUAGUCUUCGAUGACGGCAUCAGAUUUGAAGUAAAGAUUUAUCGGUAAUGGAUGGGGAUGCGUCUGAUUAGCUUGUUGGCGGGGUAACGGCCCACCAAGGCUACGAUCAGUAGGGGUUCUGAGAGGAAGGUCCCCCACAUUGGAACUGAGACACGGUUCAAACUCCUACGGGAGGCAGCAGUGAGGAAUAUUGGUCAAUGGACGGAAGUCUGAACCAGCCAAGUAGCGUGCAGGAUGACGGCCCUAUGGGUUGUAAACUGCUUUUGUAUGGGGAUAAAGUUAGGGACGUGUCCCUAUUUGCAGGUACCAUACGAAUAAGGACCGGCUAAUUCCGUGCCAGCAGCCGCGGUAAUACGGAAGGUCCAGGCGUUAUCCGGAUUUAUUGGGUUUAAAGGGAGCGUAGGCUGGAGAUUAAGUGUGUUGUGAAAUGUAGACGCUCAACGUCUGAAUUGCAGCGCAUACUGGUUUCCUUGAGUACGCACAACGUUGGCGGAAUUCGUCGUGUAGCGGUGAAAUGCUUAGAUAUGACGAAGAACUCCGAUUGCGAAGGCAGCUGACGGGAGCGCAACUGACGCUUAAGCUCGAAGGUGCGGGUAUCAAACAGG
rnacentral:rRNA from 1 species